AUUGAACGCUGGCGGCAGGCCUAACACAUGCAAGUCGAGCGGAGCGGCGGGCGGGUGCGUAAUGCAUAGGAAUCUGCCUGGCCGAGGGGGAUAACGUCCGGCAACGGGCGCUAAUACCGCCUGCUCUCAGACGAGCCAAGGUGGGAUUAGCUAGUUGGUGGGGUAAAGGCUUACCAAGGCGACGAUCCGUAGCUGGUCUGAGAGGAUGAUCAGUCAAACUGGAACUGAGACACGGUCCAGACUCCUACGGGAGGCAGCAGUGGGGAAUAUUGGACAAUGGGCGCAAGCCUGAUCAAGCCAUGCCGCGUGUGUGAAGAAGGUCUUCGGAUUGUAAAGCACUUUAAGUUGGGAGGCGUUACCAACAGAAUAAGCACCGGCUAACUACGUGCCAGCAGCCGCGGUAAUUC
rnacentral:rRNA from 1 species